CAUGGAUGACAGUCCGACAGUUUGCUGGAUUCAAAACUGACUCUACAAAGUAGUUGUCUACAUUGUAGAUAGGAUUUCCUUUUAUUUGGAAAAUGAGCAAUUGUAAAUCAGGCAUUGGAGAGAAGAGAUAUAAACAAUCUUUAGAUGGUCGUAAGUUUUGCCUACUGUUGAAGGAUUAAAACCGUAAAUCAAAAAGGUACCAAGCCUUCAGAGUUCACCAUUCAUGUGAAACUUCUUCCAUCUCUUUCUUGACCUUUUUAAAAACCAUUUUCAUUUCUGCCCUUGCACUGAAGUCUCUGUACACGGUCUCAUCUGAAACUUUUCUGCUGUUGCAUCAGCCCCACAUUUUCAUAUACUCUAGCACUAUCUUCUCUCAUUUCUGGACACGUUGGGGUUGGGGUACAGGGUGGAAGAGGGCUCUGAUCCCCACUUGUCUGGUCCGAUAAAGAAUAUUUAAUGUUUGUGUAUUCAUGACCUUUCCUCUUACUUUUCUGUUCCUCUUCAAUUCUACGCUGUAGCGUUUCAAUGUAGUGCUGUACUGCCAUGUAAAUAAAUCUGUACUGUGCUUCUGUUUGAACCAUUCCUGACCGUUGUGAUCUCACCAUCUGAAUGGUCUUUGGAACAUCAAUAUCACAGUCCACACCUUUUUCUCUGAUUAUGUCAAUAAGAAUAUCAAUCACAAUGAAAGUUCCUGUUCGUCCAAUCCCAGCACUGCAGUGGACCACAACUGGUCCUGCAUCAGAAAUGCUUUCUUGCUUAUGGUGCACCUCCUCGAGAAAGUCCAGUACACCACCAGGGUCACUUGGGACUCCAUGAUCAGGCCAAGUUCUAAAAUGAUAUUGCCAGACUGUUCUCUCUGUGUUUCCUUGCCCAACUUUAGAAAGCUUAAGUUCUCUUAGCGUGUAGUCGUGUGCUGCACUCUCCUUAACAUUCCUCACACGCAUAACACCAUACUCCUUUAGGGAAUAUUCAUCAGGCCAGUACUUGACACACUUACUCUUUCCUCUUUCAACUUCUUUUGUUGUCAUAACAAUAACUCGAGAAUUCUCCUGGAAAACCAUCCUCCAAAAAUCAUUCACUGUAUUCUGCAGGCAACCUUGAGUAGCAAUGUAGCUUUUUUUUGGCUUUGAGUUGUUGCACUUGGUUUCAAACUCAGGCAUAAUAAUGUUAGCAUUGAUAUAGUCUGAAACAGGUUCAUUUGGAUCACCAUCGUGCAGAACAACUCUGGUAUGAUCAAAGGGUAAAAUGUUUUUGUAUCUAUUUUUGUUUUUGUUUUCCUGACGCUGACCUUCUUUACGGCUAUAGAGAAGUUUGCAUUCUUGCUGCUGUAAAGUCUCAAAUUCUUCCCAGAAGCCCUGCUUGACUUUAUCUGUAGUCUCCGCUAGCUUGCUUAGCUCUCGCACUCUGCUUUCAAUCUCUGCAGCAUUAAUACGGGUGGUAUUCAGGGGCUGCUUGAGUUGCAAUACUGUGCCCAAAGUUUCUACCAUAGGGUUCUUCUUAUAAUGCUCCACUAGAUCUGUCAGAGAGUCAAACUUCUCCCCUCCACCAACAUCAUAUUUUAGAUCCUGGCAGUGAAUCAUGACAUGUGUCACUUUAGAUUUCCCAUCAUUACUCUCUCCUUUAUCAUCUCCUGUCCGGACAGAAAGAACAAAGUCCCCAGGGUGGCUUUGACUCUCACGCACAAGAAAGCUUCCAUGUUUUCCUUUUUCUGUUAAUAGUUUUUCAGCUUCUCUUCCAGAGAGAUGCCCAUGAAACCACCUUUCUGAAGUAGGAUCAGCACAGUUGAGUGGAUAUUUCAACUCUAUCACAUCUCCAUUCUUUUCUUUGAGCUGCCCAUGAUGUUCCAUAUAAUACUGGACUAACUCAGCCAAUGUAGCAAACUUCUCUCCUCCAUAGAGGUCAUAGUAGUCUCCUGUGUUCUGGAUCUUGAUGUGGGUGACAGCUCCAGUUCGCCUAACAGAGAGUGUGAAGUCUCCUGGGUUACUUUUGCUGGGCCGUGCCAGAAAACUGCCAUCAACUCCUCUUGUUAACAGUAGAUUUUCUGCCUCCACCCCAGUGAUAUUUGGAUGAAACCAUC
rnacentral:lncRNA from 1 species